UAAAUCCUGAGAUGUACGUGGCCAAUAAAUUAUUUUGAGCCAACGUUAUUUGAUAGGGAGCCUGAAGUUGUAUUUCCGAUUACAAGCCUCGUAAGCUGAGGACGUAAAAAGUUAGACACAAGGCACCCACCUGCUGAGGCAGGUUCAAAGCUUUAUUGGAGAACGGCAUUAUCGGGAUUCUA
rfam:Bacillus sp. TS-2 DNA, contig: BspTS2nb18.